rnacentral:lncRNA from 1 species
AUGACUGGUAUGAGAAGUAGCCCCUCUACUGGACAGAGGGGACUAAGUGGCAACCCAGCAGGGAAGAAGAUGCAGAGAGGAAGAAGCCUGGCCCUGCUGUGGGAAGAGUUGGUGGAGUUGGCAUCCGAUGUCAGGAGGCCAUUGAGUGCCCCUGCGGCUGGCCUUCAACUCAGUCUGCAACGGAUCAGAAUGCCUGCUACAACCACACUGACUCACAACCACAAUCUCCACAACAACUGCAGCUCCAACAACCACACCGUAUGAUAGCUGAAAUGACGCCGUAACUGCAGCAGCCAGAGGAGCACACGACGCCAGCAACAAUCACCCUACUGUAUAGACACAGCCACCUGCAGCUGCCUCGUCGUCACCUGCCAUUUACGAAACAUGCACUCUGCUCUCACUUGGGACCCGGGUCCCCAGAGGGCCUCCCAGGCUCGAAAGCCUUCAGGUGGUAAGGGGUGGGAUGGAGUUCCUCAGGGGAACCAGGUUCAGGACAAAGCCACCUCCUUUGAGAGAAGGUGUAGUCCCUUGAGGACCCCCUGUCAAAUUGACCAUAAGCCCUCCAGGCCCAGCGUCCUUCUGAUUCUUUUCCAGUGGUUGCCCUGAGAUACUUAUGCUGCCCUCUAAGCAUAAAUAAAUGGCCUUUGUGCCUGACGAACAGGGCGAGUUGGCUCGAUUUCCUUUGGUGCUUGCGGCUCACGUCCUGUGGCACCAGGCAGCAGCUAGCCAAUCUCAAACCCCAAGGGAGGUCAAUGCUGUCCCUUUAGCAACUCUGUUCUGACAGCCUUUGGCUGGCCGCUGCCAUCCAGCUCAGCCAAAAGCACAGUACCUG